rnacentral:rRNA from 1 species
CCUGAACGCUGGCGGCGUGGCUAAGACAUGCAAGUCGUACGGGGCCCGCAAGGGUCCAGUGGCGGACGGGUGAGUAAUGAAUCGCUAAUGUGCCCUCUUGUCUGGGAUAGCCGGCCGAAAGGCCGGGUAAUACCAGAUUAUAUAACCGAAUCGCAUGGUUUGGUUCUCAAAGGGAAACCGCAGGAGGAGCAGGCGAUUUCGUAUCAGCUAGUUGGUGAGGUAACGGCUCACCAAGGCGACGACGCGUAGCUGGUCUGAGAGGACGGCCAGCCACAUUGGGACUGAGACACUGCCCAGACUCCGUACGGGGGCUGCAGUAACGAAUCUUCCGCAAUGCACGCAAGUGUGACGGAGCGACGCCGCGUGGA